rnacentral:rRNA from 1 species
CCUACGGGCGGCAGCAGUGGGGAAUAUUGGACAAUGGGCGAAAGCCUGAUCCAGCCAUGCCGCGUGUGUGAAGAAGGCCUUCGGGUUGUAAAGCACUUUCAGUGGGGAAGAAGGCCUUGGGGCUAAUACCCUCGAGGAAGGACAUUACCCACAGAAGAAGCACCGGCUAACUCCGUGCCAGCAGCCGCGGUAAUACGGAGGGUGCGAGCGUUAAUCGGAAUUACUGGGCGUAAAGCGCGCGUAGGCGGUCUGAUAAGUCGGUUGUGAAAGCCCCGGGCUUAACCUGGGAACGGCAUCUGGAAACUGUCAAGCUAGAGUGCAGGAGAGGAAGGUAGAAUUCCCGGUGUAGCGGUGAAAUGCGUAGAGAUCGGGAGGAAUACCAGUGGCGAAGGCGGCCUUCUGGACAGACACUGACGCUGAGGUGCGAAAGCGUGGGUAGCAAACAGGAUUAGAUACCCCUGUAGUC